AUGAUUCACUACACUCUACUACACUACACUGCACUGUACUACACUACACUACUCUCUACACUCUACACUGUACUACACUACACUACUCUACACACUACACUGCACUGUACUACUCUACACUGCACUACUCUACACUGCACUACUCUACACUGCACUGUACUACUCUACACUGUACUACUCUACACUGUACUACACUACUCUACACUGUACUACACUACUCUACACUGUACUACACUACUCUACACUGCACUACACUACACUGUACUACUCUACACUGUACUACUCUACACUGCACUGUACUACUCUACACUGUACUACACUACUCUACACUCUACACUGUACUACUCUACACUCUACACUGUACACUCUACACUCUACACUGUACUACACUACACUCUACACUGUACACUCUACACUGCACUGUACUACUCUACACUCUACACUGUACCACUCUACACUGUACUACUCUACACUCUACACUGUACUACUCUACACUCUACACUGUACUACACUACACUACUCUACACACUACACUGCACUGUACUACUCUACACUGCACUACUCUACACUGCACUACUCUACACUGCACUGUACUACUCUACACUGUACUACUCUACACUGUACUACACUACUCUACACUGUACUACACUACUCUACACUGUACUACACUACACUGUACUACUCUACACUGUACUACUCUACACUGCACUGUACUACUCUACACUGUACUACACUACUCUACACUCUACACUGUACUACUCUACACUCUACACUGUACACUCUACACUCUACACUGUACUACACUACACUCUACACUGUACACUCUACACUGCACUGUACUACUCUACACUCUACACUGUACCACUCUACACUGUACUACUCUACACUCUACACUGUACUACUCUACACUCUACACUGUACUACUCUACACUCUACUGCACUACACUGUACUACUCUACACUAUACUGCACUACACUGUACUACUCUACACUCUACACUCUACUGCACUACACUGUACUACUCUACACUCUACACUACACUGCACUACUCUACACUCUACACUGUACUACUCUACACUCUACUGUACUACACUGUACUACUCUACACUCUACACUGCACUGUACUACUCUACACUACACUGCACUACUCUACACUCUACACUACACUACACUCUACACUACACUGUACUACUCUACACUCUACACUACACUGUACUACACUACUCUACACUACACUGUACUACUCUACACUCCACUGUACUACUCUACACUCUACACUACACUGUACUACUCUACACUCUACACUACACUGUACUACUCUACACUCUACACUACACUGUACUACUCUACACUACACUGUACUACUCUACACUCUACACUCCACUGUACUACUCUACACUCCACUGUACUACUCUACACUCCACUGUACUACUCUACACUCUACACUGUACUACACUACACUCUACACUACACUGUACUACUCUACACUACACUGUACUACUCUACACUACACUACUCUACACUCUACACUGCACUGUACUACUCUACACUGCACUACUCUACACUCUACACUACACUGUACUACUCUACACUCUACACUACACUGUACUACUCUACACUCUACACUACACUGUACUACUCUACACUGUACUACUCUACACUCUACACUACACUGUACUACUCUACACUCUACACUGUACUACACUACACUGUACUACUCUACACUCUACACUACACUGUACUACUCUACACUGUACUACUCUACACUCUACACUACACUGUACUACUCUACACUCCACUGUACUACUCUACACUCUACACUACACUGUACUACUCUACACUACACUGUACUACUCUACACUCCACUGUACUACUCUACACUCCACUGUACUACUCUACACUCUACACUCCACUGUACUACUCUACACUCUACACUCCACUGUACUACUCUACACUACACUGUACUACUCUACACUCUACACUACACUGUACUACUCUACACUCUACACUACACUACUCUACACUCCACUGUACUACUCUACACUCUACACUGUACUACUCUACACUCCACUGUACUACUCUACACUCCACUGUACUACUCUACACUCUACACUGUACUACACUACACUCUACACUACACUGUACUACUCUACACUACACUGUACUACUCUACACUCUACACUACACUGUACUACUCUACACUCUACACUACACUGUACUACUCUACACUCUACACUACACUGUACUACUCUACACUCUACACUACACUGUACUACUCUACACUCUACACUACACUGUACUACUCUACACUCUACACUACACUGUACUACUCUACACUCUACACUGUACUACACUACACUGUACUACUCUACACUCUACACUACACUGUACUACUCUACACUCUACUACUCUACACUCUACACUACACUGUACUACUCUACACUCUACACUGUACUACACUACACUACACUGUACUACACUACACUACACUGUACUACACUACACUACACUACACUGUACUACUCUACACUCUACACUACACUGUACUACUCUACACUCUACACUACUCUACACUCUACACUACACUGUACUACACUACACUCUACACUACACUGUACUACUCUACACUGUACUACUCUACACUCUACACUGUACUACACUACACUGUACUACUCUACACUCUACUACUCUACACUGUACUACACUACACUACUCUACACUCUACACUGUACUACACUACACUGUACUACUCUACACUCUACUACUCUACACUGUACUACACUACACUACACACUACACUGUACUACUCUACACUCUACACUACACUGUACUACUCUACACUGUACUACACUACACUACACUACACUACUCUACACUCUACACUGUACUACUCUACACUCUACACUGUACUACUCUACACUGUACUACUCUACACUGUACUACUCUACACUGUACUACACUGUACUACUCUACUACUCUACACUGUACUACUCUACACUGUACUACUCUACACUGUACUACUCUACACUGUACUACUCUACACUGUACUACUCUACACUGUACUACUCUACACUGUACUACUCUACACUGUACUACUCUACACUGUACUACUCUACACUGUACUACACUACACUACUCUACACUGUACUACACUACACUACACUGUACUACUCUACACUCUACUACUCUACACUCUACACUCUACUACUCUACACUGUACUACUCUACACUGUACUACACUAAACUACUCUACACUGUACUACAUUACACUGUACUACACUGUACUACAUUACACUGUACUACUCUACACUACACUACACUGUACUACACUACACUGUACUACACUACACUACACUACACUGUACUACACUACACUACACUGUACUACACUACACUACACUACACUGUACUACACUACACUACACUGUACUACAUUACACUGUACUACAUUACACUGUACUACUCUACACUACACUACACUGUACUACACUACACUACACUACACUGUACUACACUACACUAA
ensembl:lncRNA